AUUGAACGCUGGCGGCAGGCCUAACACAUGCAAGUCGAGCGGAUUAAGGGAGCUUGCUCCUGGAUUCAGCGGCGACCGGGUGAGUCAUGCCUAGGAAUCUGCCUGGUCGUGGGGGAUAACGUCCGGAUACGGGCGCUAAUACCGCAUCCGUCCUGAGAGCGCAAGUGGGGCAUCUUCGGACCUCUCACCAUCAGAUGAACCUAGGUCCGCAUCACUAGUUGGUUGGGUAACGGCCUACAAAGGCUACCAACCGUAACUGGUCUGAAAGCAUGAUCAGGCAGAUUGGAACUGAGACACAGGCCAGACACCUAGUGGAGGCAGCGGUGGGGAAUCUUAGACGAUGGGCGAAAGCCUGAUCCAGCCAUGCGGCGUGUGUGAUGAAGGUGCUCAGAUGGUAGAACACUGUAAGUCGUAGGGAAGGGAAGUAAGUUAAUAGCUUACUAUAAUGACGGUACCAACAGAAUAAGCACCGGCUAACUUCGUG
rnacentral:rRNA from 1 species